AUACUUAUCUGGAAGGGGAGAUACCAUGAUCAUGAGCAUGCUUUUCUCAGGGUGAGGCUUAUCCAUCGCCCUCCAGAUAUGCUGACCCCUAAUAUGUCCCCAAAUGUAGGAAACACAACUGUGUCAUGUGUGGCAAUGGGGGAGUAUAUUCACACUCUCA
ensembl:snRNA LOC120094438 U1 spliceosomal RNA